CCGAGGCAGAAUAGACGUUUCUCCCCUGCUCUCCCACACUUUGUUUAAAUGGGACCUGCCAUCAAAAAUGUAAUUUUGUGUGUUUUUUGUGUCAGAUUAGGUCCAUAUCAUGUUCGUCUUAUGUUGUAAAUGUGAAAAUAAACCGUUACGUCGUUUGCAUUCUGUAAAGGUUUAAAAUAAAGAAACGGGUAAACCAGGCCAAUUGAAAAAGCAGAUCAUUCUGACAUCGCGCUGACCUUGCUCAUUAUUAUUCACAAGCGCAUCCUCGGUGAGCCACGCCCACUCUCUCGUUCUCUUACUCAUUCACAGUCAACAUCACUCUCCGGCCAGAGCAAGACCCAGCUACCACUGUAUCCACUAUUGGUCUCUUCCAAACGACCGGUGCUUCCUUGGGUUCACUGCCGGGAAAAUGAACUUAAAGCAGGGCAGAAUGAAUGUAAACACCGCUGGAGAUCUCUGGCUUCUUCUUCAACUUCCACCUCCUCUUCGGGCUCGGGGUCUAAAAUAUAUGGUUUAAUACCUGCCAUUUUUAGCCUUUAGCAUAAGGUGACCAGACAUCCCAGAUUUCCGGGGACAGUCCCCGAAUUGGAUGACCUGUCCCCGGCAAAAGCUGUCCCCGAAAAUGUCCCCGAUUUAAGCAUUUCAUGAAUGAGAGCAACAAUGUUGCGUGUGGGCUCGAACAACGGUUCUUACAGUAGCCAAAUAGGUAGGAAGCACAAGUAAGCAGUCCUGAACAACAGUUCUUACGGGGGUUAUUACAAAGGGCAUGCGCUGCUACUAAAUAGUACCGAGAUUUUGUCUGUGAUCACGCAGCCCCUGCACCCUCCCCGCCGCUGCCACCGCACCAAAUAUCCCUGGAUAUCAUUACAGACAUCUGGGCACCUUACUUUAGCACACAUUAGCAAAAUGGAUAAACCGAAAUCCGAACCUCCACUGCUGAGCCAAUCAGAGCACAGCAGGCUUCACGCAGCGAUCCAAUCAGAGCAAGCUCAUUACCAUAAAUGUUAAUGGGCCAAAAUCAGUUGGUUUUCCUGUAAGGUUUUUUAGGCAUACUAAAAACAAACCAUCAAAUAACUUUUCAGCUAAAAUUAUGUUGCAAACAUGAUCAGAGGACAUCAAGGAUUAUGAAAAAAUGAUUAAAAUGGGUAUGAAAUUUUGAUGGCAGGUUCCCUUUAAACUUCAUGUUUUCAAGUCCUCUCUACACCUCCUUCUACUAAACAAGCCAAAAAAGACUCUGCGCCCUCCGGCACCACAGCUGCUAAGGAACUUAGCAUGGACGCGCUAACUAGCCUCUUAAGUCAACAUAGGGCCAAGUUGGCUUCGGAGUUGAAGACAUCGUUCUUGAUACUCAAGACCAAAAUAGACUUCCUCCAAACCACUGUGUCGAGUCACGGCCAGCGUAUCAUUUCUCUGGAGACCAACGCAAACUCGGUGGAUGAUCAGCUGCAGAGCCUCGAGGCUAGAUGCUCCGAGCUAACCGUGACUAACGAGAAGCUAAAGGCAAAAACAGCAGACCUGGGGCCUUAUGUAUCAAUACUUGCGUGGAACUCAUACCAGAAACGAGCGCACGCAAGGUCCAUCACGCUGAAAAAAAUCCGUAUGUAUCAAUGUGUGCGGGCGCCGAAAUCCACGUGUGUUUCCUUGAUAAAUCCCAAUCAGCGUGGAAUUGAGCGCAGAUGUCGGAGUGACUGGGCCAGCCCCCGUUACGCCCUCCUAUAAAUAUGCAGAUUUAUUUAAAUCUGGUCUCCCUGCAGACAAAAUGACAAGAAAAACUAAAUUUACGGCGUGUGAGGUGGAGGUGCUGGUGGCGGAGGUGGAGGAGCGACAACCUGUUUUGUUUGGCAGCCUGUCCAGUGGCGUCAGUGCAAAACAAAAACGCUUGGAGUGGGAGAAAGUUCGCGAGAGGGUGAACGCGGUGGGUUCCGAGACACGCACCCCCGCGGAGAUUAAAAAAAAGUGGUCGGACCUCAAGGUGGAGGUCAAGCGGCGUACAGCUGCCCUCCGGAGGAGUACCGGCCAGACAGGUGGGGUUCCGGGGGAGGAGACCCUCACGCCAUUUGAGCAGCGGGUGGUGGCGAUUAUUAUUAUAGGGUAAGUGGCGUGUCACACAAAUGUCCACAUGCUUUGCCAUCCCACUGAGCAAAAGACGUAUAUUAGACGUCUAGUCUAAGUUUAUACUUCAUUUCAACGUCGGGAUUCAGUCUAUUUUUAGACAGGAUUUAUACUUCGCCCUUAACUUCAUUUUUCGAUAACUUUUUAUGCAAUAAACAACUGUAAUGUGCAUAACUGACCUCUAAAUACUGGAUUACAUUACCUACGAUACCGUGGAGAGAGAUGUAAACGCAACAGAUACACAGAAGCAGGAAUUGAAAUGAACCAAUAUUUUUAUUGUGUCACAGAAAUCAAUGUGUCGGCCAUGUCGCCGGCUUGCGGAACCCCGGCCUGCGGCAGCCCGUCCGCCGGCAUUCGGGCCACCCCGGCCCCCGGCCCCAGCAUCAGCAUCAGCAUCAGCACCAGCGCGCCGACAAGCGGUGGAGCGUCCACCAGCCGCGGCGCUUCCGCUGGACCACCCGGAAGCAGUGGAAGGGUCCUCACGGAGGCGGUCCUGCAAUCGCAGGAAGAAAUCAUCAGGGGGAUCGCGGGGAUCAACGAGCGGCUGGAGGCGAAAAUAAAUUAAUUUGGCUCAUUGAACUGUGUAUUCACUUCUUACCCAUUCACACUGUGGCGAUGAGAUUCUCCCGCGCGAGAACGGCGGCCGGCAGUGAUCAGCUCGCAUCCCUCCGUCUGCUGCUGGUUCGUCAUGUGGGGCGACGUGCUGCUCCGCCACGGGGAUAUGGUGCAGCUUGUCACAUAGUGAGUCACCAAACACCGCCACACAGCGUCGCCAAAGUGCGAAUCACAGUCAACGCAAGUAUCCGCUCAACGCCAAUUUCUACACCACCUCCUGACUUUGCGUUGAUUAGCGCUGGAACCGACGCUCGUUUCGCGAUGAUAAAUCUGGACGUGUGCGCCGAUUUUGGUGUACGCAAGGUUUUCUUGCGCCGCAAGCGUUGAUACAUAAGGCCCCUGGAGGCUUGUAGCCGCCGCAAUUAUGGUCGGAUUAUAGGACUUCCUGAGUCCAUUGAAGGCCCACGACCAACCGACUUCUUCUCCAAACUGCUGUGCCAACUUAUGGGCGAGGAAAUACUCCCCACGCCGCCUGUGCUGGAUUGAGUGCACCGGUCCCUAGCCCCGAAACCGAAACCAGGCGAGCGUCCACGACCCGUAAUCGUCUGGUUUCACAACUACCAAACCAGGGAAAAGGUCCUCCGUGAAGCCCGCAAGAGAAGGCCUAAUCUACCACAUCUGGGGAAACUUGUGGCUAUCUUCAAAGACUUCUCCCCCUCUCCCCCCUCAUGUCCCUCCUCUAUAACCGCGGGUUGAAACCCAGCCUCCGGCGAAGCUGUAUAUUACCGUGAACGAGGGGGAAAAGAUCCUACUUUCGUUGGUGGAUAAGGCUAAAGAAUAUCUCACCAGUGGAGACGCCUAAAGAGAUCCUAUUACACGGUAAUAGUGCCUGGUUAUGGCUUGUCUACCAUCCAUAAACAUUAGAAAUGUUGGACUGGAUAACGUCAACGGCAUAAACUCAUAAUUAAUAAGUUGUUUAUUUUGCUAAAUUGUUUACAUAUAAUCAAUCCAUUCUGUGCUCAGUGCAUCUUAUGUUCGGUCUGGUUACACCGAUUGUUUCAUAGUAGCUGCUUCAUAGAGGUGUCUUUAUCACACUUUGUUCUUAGCUUUUACUAAGGUAAUAUCCCAAGGUUGUGUGGACGCUUACAAUUUUUGUCAACACUGCUUUUGUUGCCAAUUUUGGUAUAUACUGACCCCCUGCUGCAAUCUAUGUCUGUGUUUAUAUAUACUUAGAUCUGGGCUGCCCUGCAGGUGGGCAUUUACAAGUUAAUUUGUCGAGUCUUGACAAAUUAUGACAAAUUUUGUCUUGCCUCAGUUGAAGCUCUUUUACUCUCAUGAUUUGGAGAGAGGCUGAAACAGUGUUUUUUUUUCCUUCUGCAAUGGGAAAGGGGUAGUUUAGAAGCAAGUUCUACAUGGUAUCUAGGGAGAUACUCAGGCUAGGUUUGAUUUUUUUUUCUAUUGUAUUUUUGUACGUAAAUAUGACUCUGUGGGUGUGUACGAAAGCUUUCUUUUUUUUUUUUUCACAUGUUCAUAGGUCUUAUUCUCGGAUUGAUUUCUUUCUACUCGAUAAUAGAUUAUUAGACAACACGCAGUCAUGCGAGUACCACAGCAUAGUAAUCUCUGACGAUUCUCCUGUCUCUCUAAACAUAAACCUUGCCCAGGGCAGACUACCUAACAAACCCUGGAGGUUCAAUUUGCACAUGCUAUCUGAACCAAAGUUCAAGGACCUUUCAUCCACUUUUUUUUUUAUAUCAAUGAUACACCGGAUGUUAGUCGCAAUGUACUUUGGGAGUCCUUCAAGGCUUACUUGCGUGGACAAAUUAUUUCUUUUAUCUCUAGCCGCAGGAAGUUGGAGCGCUCUGAAUUAAAUCAAAUAUCACAUGAAAUACAAAGUUAGAUGCUCGAUAUUCAGUCGACCCUUCAGAUGCCCUGUAUAAAAAACGUGUGCAGCUCUAAUCGCAGUAUAACUUACUAAUGUCUGGCCGAAUUGAGAAACAACUUUUGAACACCAAGCAACGCUUCUUUGAGCAAGGGGACAGAGCUGGAAAACUCCUGGCUUACCAAGCUUGAACUGCGGCUGCAUCCAGACUUAUACCUAGGAUUAAGCUAACCUCUGAUGUUACCACUUCAAAUCCUACUGCUAUUAACAAUGCAUUUGUCAACUUCUUUUCUGAGCUAUAUUCUUCCAAAACCUCUCAGUGCCUCUGGGAUGGCCCAAACCCUCUGGACCUCCUCUCUUACCCUCAGAUUGACCCGACGGCCCGGACUGAUUUGGGUGCACAAAUCUUCAAAUAGAUUUUAAAGUAUUAGCAAAAGUCCUAGCUGGCCGGCUUCAGGGAGUCAUUUCCUCCUUGAUUAACCCAGACCAGACUGGCUUCGUCUCUGGGAGACACUCAUCUUCAAACACACGCAGGUUAUUUAAUAUACUUCACUCCCCCUCCACCAACUCUCCCGAACUGGUUUUGUCUCUAGAUGCUGAAAAAGCGUUUGACCGCUUAGAGUGGAGAUAUCUUUUCCAUGUCCUGGAUAAAUUCGUCCUCAGCCCUAAUUUUAUCGAGUGGAUACAACUUCUUUAUGCUUCUCCCUCAGCUUCUGUCAGCACUAAUGGCAUUAAAUCCCACUCGUUUCCUUUGCACAGAGGUACGCGACAGGGUUGCCCUCUUUCCCCACUGCUGUUUGCUUUGGCAAUCGAACCCCUUGGCAUCUGGUUGCAUGGAGAGAGUGGGGUUGAGGGCAUCAAACGCUAUGGACAGCUUCACAAAACUUCUUUUUAUGCUGACAAUCUCUUGCUUUAUAUAUCCAAUCCAACAUCCAGUCUCCCUUUAAUUUUAGGUAUUUUUGGGAAAAAGCGACUACAUGCCAAUAAACCCUGCCACUGACCUUCUCCUGCCUGGUCUCCCUCCCUUUAGGAAAGCCACUGAUGGUCUUAAAUAUCUUGGAAUCCAGGUGACAAGAUCAUAUCUUGAUUUGUUUGAUAAAAACUUCAACCUUUUGAUCGAGCAUUGCAAAUUAGUUCUCACCAGAUGGUCCUCGCUCCCCCCUCUCUGAUUGGACGAGUCAGUCUGGUUAAAAUGUCACUACUUCCACAAUUUCUUUACCUUUUCCAACAUGUACCUGUCUUCAUUAGAAAAUCUUUUUUUUUGUAACCUUGAUCAAUACAUUAGCUCAUUUCUUUGGAGCAAUAAACGGGCACGUAUUGGUUGAGCAGCCAUCCGACUUCCCAGAUCCCUGGGAGGGUUAGCGCUCCCAGACUUUCGCUAUUAUUAUUGGGUCUGCAAUAUCACCAAACUCCUCUUUUGGAACACUAAUAAAGCAAUGCCUGACUGUCCACGCUGGGCUCUGAUUGAAACUUCCUCCUCACAACUCUGCCUUUGUUCUGUGGUGUGCUCCCAACUGCCCCUGUUGCCUAAACAGGUUAGCCCCAAUCCAAUUGUAUCAAACACGCUGAGGAUUUGGAUUGAGUUCAGAAAAGUGUUUGGUCUUCAUACUCAGUCAUGUCAAUCACCAAUUUUUCAAAAUCACCAUUUUGCUCCCUCAUGCACUGACCCAGCGUUCCGUAUCUGGUCUGAGAAGGAUCCCAGCAUCCCCCAUACUCUCUCACUGACCAAUUUUUAGCCCUCAAUCCUAGGAAGAAGGGACUCAUUGGGAUCGCAUACAAACAGAUUCACACCUUGUCCUCGACUCCUCUAACCUGACUUAGGGCUGCGUGGGGUCAAGAUCUUGGCAACCCCUUUUACAGAUGUGCAAUGGGAGGGGGUACUAAAUAAUGUCCACUUUUCCUUUAUUUGUGCCAGGCAUAGCCUUCUCCAAUUUAAAAUACUGCAUAGAGCCUAUCUCACGAAUGCUAAACUGGCAAAAAUAUAUCCAGGCAGAGCUGACGUAUGCAACAGAUUUAGACAGGGCCCUGCUGAUUUGGUUCACAUGUUUUUGUAUUGGCCUAAACUGUCAGAGUUUUGGGAUGCGAUAUUUGACUCACUAAGUAAGGUAACAGGUCGAACCAUACCAUUCGAUCCCCUCACUGCUCUCUUUGGAGUUUAUUCUCACUGCAGUGCGUCUAUAGCAACGCGAAAAAUUUUAGCAUUCACUACAUUACUUGCUCGAAUGGUCCCACCCUUCCGCCGCGACUCAUAAUAAAUUGAUUCAGGAGGUACUUCAUUGUAUUACGCUUGAGAAGAUUAGGCUCUCCUUAAAGGGGUCCAUAAGCAGCUUCUAUAAAAUGUGGCAGCCCUUCAUCUCAUACAAUGAGUCUACUGCCAUCAUAGCAGAGACCAACUGAGCCCUCCCCCCUCCCCUCUUUUCUUUUUAUUUAUCCUUAUUUGAUUUAUUUUUUUUAUCGUCGUCAGUAUUAUUACGACAGUUUUUUUUUUUUUGCUUUCGGUUUCAUUGUUUACUAUCUGUGCCUUGUGCUUGUCUGUUGUGAGAAUGGUAGGAUUGAAUGUGUGUACUCUGGGUUUGGUGGGUGGGGGGGAUAGGUAGGUAGUCUGCUACCACACCUGGGAUGACUUGGGUUAACACAGGCUGGUUCCCAUGAUUUAUUCUGAACUACUGUCCAAUGUAAGAACUGUAACCCAGGCUACUAUUAAAAAAUUCAAUAAAGAUAUUUUGAAGGAUAAAUAAUAAGUUCAAGCACGGAACAGACAAAAAAAAAUAUUUGUUUGUCUUAGUGAGUUAAAUUGUUUUAUUCCCUUUUUUAAAUUUCUAGUAUAUCUUCUUUUAUCUGUAAAGCACUUUGAGUUGCCUUAUGUAUAAAUGGUGCUCUACAAAUAAACUUGCCUUGCCUUUUAUGCAGUUCCCCAAAACGAUAUGUGCAACUCCAUGGCUUCAAACUUCAUUUUUUUUUUACCUACGAUCACUUUGCUCUCACAAACUCUCCAUGGUGAUGGCCAAUAGGGCACGCAAAAUCCUUGGGCUCUAUUUUCUCCCCCCUUUUUCUGUCUUCCUCUUCCUCUUAUUCCUUGUGCAGCUCGACCUGGACAUGUCUCUGUGUCCUCUCCCUGUCCUGCUGCUGCUGCGGCAGCUGGACAGAUGAUUUAUUUCAGUGAUCAGAUGAGUUAUUUACUUUAAGACUACAUACAAAUAUUAUAAUAUUCAGUUUUGUGAGCCAAAUUUAUUUUAUACGCCAACAUCUAUGAAAGAAACAGCCAGGCCACGGAGCGUGAUGCGUCAUUUACGCACAGGUGGUUCCAAUUAUUAGAUUUCAUUAUUUUUUCAUUUCAUUUCAUUGUUAGAAUUUAUGUUGUGAUCUGUGCGCACAACCCACCUUUGUCGCAUGAAGUUUGAAUACAUGCAACUUUAUGUGAGUGUCUUUAUUUGUGGAAAAGGGUGUUUGUCUUACCAGUGGGUCCAACAUUACACACAUCAAAUCCCUCUGUGCUUAUAUGAGACAGUGUGGAGGACGCUCUCCGCAGUGCUUACAGGGACACUUGUUGAGGGGCUGCCUUCUGUCGCCAUCGUGUGGCAUAGCUGUCUUCAGAUAUCUCUUGAUCUCUUUGACUACUUCAUGAAAAUUGUUAUACUCCUCGCCGGUGGCGGAUUUAAAGGUGAGGAGAGGAGCUUAUGUGAAUGAUGAAAACAGGUCUGUGUCUAUACCACUCUGUGUUAAACCCACUCCACGCCUUAUCCUCUCCCCCUCUACUACUUACGCCACUGGGAGGAGCUGAGUUAGGGAGGGAGGAUACUUACGCCGGGCUGCGCCACUCACCAAAAUACCAAAGUGUGCUUGGGCAUGCCUUGUCGGCGUGGCAGACCUGACUUACGCGCCUGCGCCACGCCAUAGGUGAGGCACGAAAAUAGAGCCCCUUGUGUAAAGAGGUCAUUCCACUCCACUUUUGCACCUGUUAUCAAUUGCGCAUGCAAUGAUAGUAGAUCACCAGCAACACGCCCACUUAUAGCACGUGCAAUUUCUUAGUUUGCACACACAAUUAGCGUUCGCUAUUCGGGGUCUUAGUAGAACAGGUCCUAAGAGUACAAGCAAAGACUCAGCACAGGCCAGUCCUCCCUCUGUGAUCAGUCUCAGCUGAAGGUUUUUUGAAUUCUCAUUGACAAUCCUAAAUUUAACCUGAAAGUACCUCGCUCAUCAGCUCUACCUUCACAGCUCAUGUAAGUCUUUGUAUCUCUCUGAGUCUCUCUCUGUCUAAGAUGUCAGCGAAUCGUUUGCGUCCCAGUCUCUCAGACAGUCCAACGGUAGAUCUGAAUCACUGGUAUCUCUGUGUAUAAACCCUCUGUGUGUGCCUGACCUCUGCCUCCUAAAGACUGAAUCUCUGCCUCACCCAGGCUCCAGUCCUCAGGCCUCACUCUCACCUCUGCCCCUCCCCCUUACCUCUGCACACCAGGUGUAUAAGUGGGUUAGUGCUCGGCUAAGCUACCUGCUCCUCAGGUCGGUUGCAGCAGGACGUCCUUCUUUAAAUGUCAUCCAUAUUCUCCUGAGCGUGGGAGAACACGUAGCCGGGGAGGAGAUCAGGAUCAGAGGGGAGAAAGAGCACUCCUCUGGAUGUGAACUUCAACUUGACCUCUGACCUCCCUUUGCCUGGCUCAGAUAUCAAAACACAGAACCAUCUGCCUGUGGGAGCAGGGCAGCGGGAAGUGCGGGGUUAAUAUCAUACACUCACAGAGCAGAAUACAGACCCUAAUUUUCUCCCAUACUCACACACAAUCCGUUUAUUUGAUCUUGGAGCCGCGACAGAUGGAUGGGGGCCGCACACUUCCACCCUCUCUCUCUCUCUGCUGCCAUUCCUGUGCAGAGCGAGCAAGGAGGGGCACAUAAUGGUGAGAGAGGGCAAGAAAGGGUGAGAAAGGGCGCAGGGUGAGGCAGAAAAAAGGAGGAGGAGGGAAAUCUGAACCUGCAGGGGUCGGCCUCCUCCUUUAUCUCUCUGUCAAUCACAAUGGGAGAGGAGUGUUUGAGGGAUGAAAAAGUGAUGGAGAGACAAGAAAGAGAAGGAGGAGGAGAAGAGGUGGACAGCUGGGGCAAGAUUCAGUUUCUUCACCUGAUAAUUAUCUAUUUUAUAACCAAAUCUGCAUAAAUAAUCUAAAACUGUCCAAAAUACUUUAUAUCAACAGAAGAUUCAAGCAAUAUGCAGUACCAUACCAGCAAUAUGUAUUCAUCUGCUUCACAGAGUUCUGGCCUCAUUCAGCUCAUUGUUUUGGCUCCACAGAUUAGGGAGAAUAGGGACAGGGAGACCUUUUAAUCUCUCUUAUAGUGUGUGAUUGACUUUUAAUUAUCAACUGUAUAACUUUAGUGUUUUGUACUGUAAAUGGACAUGGAAGUGCCCCCAAAAAUACAAAAAACACAAAUGAGUUAUAUCGAUUCAUGCUAAAUCCCCUGAAACAAUCUGGGACUUUCUAAAUGACUGAUAUUGAAUAUUUGUGCAGAGGACAGGGCAGAGUAACUGUUCCACUUCAGGACACACUGACCAUUUGGUCAUCUUUUGUUACAGGGUGAAAUAAAUGCAGCAAUGCUGUCACUUUACCAUACUGUAAGUCCUCUAAUAGAGACCGCCAGGCCCCUCAUAAUGAACAGGAUCAAGUCCUUUAGGAGUGAAUAAAUACUGGAUCUCAUUUAGUGGCCGGGACAGUUUCAUAUUUCUAUCAUAGAGAACAGCUUACUGUUGAGAUCACGAUGAUCACACACACUAGCCAGACUGUCUGUACACUUAUAACAUCUGUUUUGUAGUGAAAUAUUUCAAAGACCAACUCUACGCAGUCUGCUGCAGGUUUUUAUGGCACUAGUGAUGGAAAGAACAGUUCUCUUGACUGUACUGAAUCUUUAGAAUCCGUACAUUAAAAUGAUUUGUUCAAGUGUUUAAGUGAGUGACACAGCUGCAAGUUCGUUGACCGAAGGAGCCCAUCCCCUCCCCUGCUGCUGAAGUCACAGCAUCGUUCACUGGGUGACACAUGUCGUUCAUUCACCAAGUCGUGAAGGAAGAAUCACUCCCCUGCCUUGAAAAACUCACUUCUCCGUUUGUCGCCGGUGGCGGAAACAACACAGCAGCAAGCAGCACACCUGCUAAACGAGCACGAGUCGUCAUUCUUUUAUAUGGUGGAAAAGUGGAGAGAUUAAAAAUUAAAAAAACUUACAGCAGUAGCAGGUAUUCUGCUCCUUUUAAAGAUAUUAGCGCAUUGCUUUAAAUCUGCUGAAACUAAAUUCUUCUUGCAGGAAAGUUUAUACACGUGUAUUAAUGUAAAGGUGCUAUAAUGCACUGUUUUAUCUUAGCCUCAGUGAAUAAACCAGUGCUCAGCAGUAAGUGAACGACACUACACCCCUCCCUUCUCUGCCUUACCUAAGUCGUUCCGAAGUCGUUCGCAUUGUUCACAGUCUGACCAAUACAUGUCAUUCUUUCGCUGUGAGCAAAUCACAAGACUCUGCCCACCCACUGGCUGGCUGGCUGGCUGGUUCGCCGCACCCCCCUCCCUACACAGUUUGACACGACUCAACUUCGAAAUGAAAGAAUUUAACUACGGGCUAAAAAUGAGUCAUUACCUUUGACAAAGUGGUCACAGCACACACGGGCAUUAUCAGCUCCUCCAGACCGUAGGCGGAGAUUAAAAAGCCAUUUUUGCCAGCGUUUUUCAGUCAGCUUCUUACACUUUACUCUUUGUGUAACACUACUUUGGGCACAUGAUAAGAGCUGUUCGAUCGAUUCAAGCAGCCGUAAACGGAGCAAAACAUCGGCAUGUUGCUGGUCUCUAUAGCAGCAACUCACUUCCUGCCCUCCAUCUGUAUUACGCGCGUGCCGCGUAACAUGAAAGUGACGUCAAGUGAAAACCACCUAUACACGGUAAAAUAGGGGAAUAGGGUGCUUCAUUUAUGAUGCUUGUUUGCACAGAGAGAGAUAUUUCUUUUAUUUUAUGCAUAAUGGACCGUUUAAAUAAACAUGUACUUAACUGGUGCACAGAGACACUAAUUCGAUAUGAAGACCUACCCUCUAUACAAGCCUGCUUCGUAUUACAGCCUGGUACCUUCACCACCUGAGGCAAGAAGGGGACCUGGGUCAAAACCCUUAUGCUGUCACAAAAAAAUUGUGAAAAUUAGAUGCUAUAUUAUUUUUUGUUACUAAAUGUAGCAGAGAUUCACUGAAGCUUUGUAUAAAGGAAAUACAAUGAGGCCUCAGAAACACAGGGGUCUGCCCCAGUGUGAGUGGAGGGACGGAUGAAGAUGAACGUGUCAGGCUGCUCAACUUUUUCAUGCAAACAUACAAAACUCAAUCAAGAGCUCCACGUUAUCAUAAGUUACAUCAUUAAGAGAUGAAACACAUUGCUGCAGCUGUGAGCUCUGAUGGAAUAUUAUAAUAGCACCAUUCAAUGAUGUGUUUUCAGCUUAUAGUAUUUAUAUGAUCUAAUAAAGGUGUAUAAGUAAAUAAUGUAUAAUCAAGUAUCAUUUCGACUUGUUAUAGGUUUGGAGGACUGGUCUUGGGUCCAACCUCUGACUCUAAAACUGGAAACAGUUUUCAGUGACAGGGAUUUUCUCACAAACUGUGUGCAUGAACAAAAACCUGGUACAUGAGUGAAUCCUGGUCAGAUCAGUGGGUUCAGUUGGUCUGGCUCUGAGGACUGAGGGACAGUCUCGUCUUGGUGGAUCUGUUCUCUGACUGACCACAGCUCUGAUGUUUCUGAACUUACAGACUUUCACCACAACAUUGUUCUGCGGCCCCACAGUGGGACGUUGCCCCAGGCUGCCCACCAGCCCACUGAGCAAGACGUCCCCAAGGACCCCCAACAACAAACCUGCGAACAAACCGGCUGUGCCUGGCCCUGGUCAGAGGGAGCACUGCCUGAGGCCAGUCUACCAGCCGGACCCUGAACCUCCUCCAGACAGCAAGAGGAAAGAGACUCCCUGAGGUCCCAGACCUCUCCCUGUUAUGACUCAUGGCCUGUCUGAGGGUCUAAGAGAGUUAGGGAGCAGACAAAUGAAAGAUGCAAAGAACAAACGGAACAGAAAGAGAGAUUAGAGGACAGUCACUAAGGCUAAAUCCUCUUUUUUCUCUGGUGUCUCUGAUGUUCUGUCAAAGCACUGCAGAACCUGGGUGCUUAAACUAAACACAGACUGAGAGAAAUGGAUUCAAAGAGGACAACUAAGAGGACCUUCAGAUCCUUAGUCUGAAUGUUUUUAAGUCUUUACCGUAGAGGCAAUGACUCUUACAGCAGCAGAAACAAACUUUGCCUGUUAGUUUCUGUGAGCGAUGACUCUUCUUGGAUCACAGCAGCUAAUAGCCAACAUGCCGAGAGAGCGAUUAAGAGGAAAUAAACCUGCAUGGACAUAUUUAUAAAGUCAUUUACACCACGGGUCAUAGAGCGUCUAUUAAAGGAUCAUCAGGGGAGCACUUCACUAAACUGUCUGAUGUAUGAUUCUAACUGUAAGUCCGUAUAUACGUUUUUUUUAAUGCUUAAAAAAAAAAAACAGCUGGAGGAACAUCUGAUGAGCUGAAUUUCCAACAGGUUACUAACAUGACAGGGUAUAAAAAAGACAUUCAGAAGAGCUGGGUCUCUCAGAAGGAAAGAUGGAGAAAAGGUUCACCACUCAGAGAGAGACUGUGUGAGCUAAUAGUUCAACAGUUUCAGAAUAAAGUUCUUCAAUAUCAAACUGUAGAUUUUUUUCAGUUUAAAGUUAAAAAAGUUCUUCUUUCAGAAGCAUUACAAUUUACUCAAACUUCGCAGCGAUCCUACAUCAACUACGUGUCACUGCGCUGACAUGUAGGUGAUGUAGGACUGACUUUAUUGGUCCAACUCUAGACCAAUACAGUCAGCAUCGUUCACUUACAGUCAGUCUCAGACUGUACAGGUCCAUGUCACAGAUUCACCUGUGAUUAGUUCAUUGGUUCACGAUCCACAAAUGGCAUAUUUUAGAGAGAUGCUCACGCCAAGUCGAGGUUAGUUGUCUCACUGAGUGGUGCGGCGUUUGUUCAUUUACCUGUCAUAAGUCCAUGUGUUGUGUUGCUCCUGCUUGUAGUCGAGCAUAUCAAUUCAAAUAUGAGACAAGCUGAACUGAAAAAAAAUGGGUUCAUCUUAGUUUAUCGGAGUUUAGUGUUUUUAGUGCCAGUAUACAUUUUUGUCAGUAGAUGGCACCAUCGUUUUCAGGACAAGUGUACCCCAAUGCCUGAUGACAACC